rnacentral:rRNA from 1 species
GACGAACGCUGGCGGCGUGCUUAACACAUGCAAGUCGAACGGAAAGGCCUUUUCGGAGGUACUCGAGUGGCGAACGGGUGAGUAACACGUGGGUGAUCUGCCCUGCACUCUGGGAUAAGCCUGGGAAACUGGGUCUAAUACCGGAUAGGACCGCACUUUAGUGUGUGUGGUGGAAAGUUUUUUCGAUGUAGGAUGAGCCCGCGGCCUAUCAGCUUGUUGGUGGGGUAAUGGCCUACCAAGGCGGCGACGGGUAGCCGGACUGAGAGGUUGGUCGGCCACAUUGGGACUGAGAGAUGGCCCAGACUCCUACGGGAGGCAGCAGUGGGGAAUAUUGCACAAUGGGCGCAAGCCUGAUGCAGCGACGCCGCGUGGGGGAGGACGGCCUUCGGGUUGUAAACUCCUUUCGCCAGGGACGAAGCGUUUUGUGACGGUACCUGGAGAAGAAGCACCGGCUAACUACGUG